UCUACUUCAACCAUCCAGCUUUAAAUCCUAUGCUGUCUUUUUCCCCCCCUCCUUUUGAGUUGAUUUUUGUUGAGUUGAUAUUCUCAGUUCAAUGAUUCAUUGUUGAGUUGCAUUUUGAGUAUCUCUCCUCUGCUUCUAGACUAUAAUUGACGGCAGUUGUUAGGAAUUUCAUUCUCUUGUGGCUAAAUUAAUAAAGAAAAAAAGAGAGGAAAAGUUAUGGAUUUGGGUUUGCUAUUUUUGAUACUAACAUCUAAUUAAUGGGUCAUCUUGCUGCGAUUAUCCUUAUGCCUAGUUAAUGGGUCAUUUUGCUGUAAUUGAAUAUUUUACAAAUUGAAUCUCCUCGAACAAAUUAGCUGUGAUUGAAUAUUUCAAAUAUUUGCUGAAUAUUUGAUGUAAUUGAAAAUUGACAUACUUUUUGCAAAUAUUAGCUGUGAAUAUUUCAAAUAUAAUUUACUGUAAUUGAAUCUCAUUGAACAAAUUGACUGUAAUUGAAUUGGACAAAUUAAGCAAAU
rnacentral:misc_RNA from 1 species